AUUGAACGCUGGCGGCAGGCUUAACACAUGCAAGUCGAACGGUAGCAGGAAGAAGCUUGCUUCUUUGCUGACGAGUGGCGGACGGGUGAGUAAUGCUUGGGAAUCUAGCUUAUGGAGGGGGAUAACUACGGGAAACUGUAGCUAAUACCGCGUAAUAUCGAAAGAUUAAAGUGUGGGACCUUCGGGCCACAUGCCAUAGGAUGAGCCCAAGUGGGAUUAGGUAGUUGGUGAGGUAAAGGCUCACCAAGCCGACGAUCUCUAGCUGGUCUGAGAGGAUGACCAGCCACACUGGGACUGAGACACGGCCCAGACUCCUACGGGAGGCAGCAGUGGGGAAUAUUGCGCACAUGGGGGCAACCCUGACGCAGCCAUGCCGCGUGAAUGAAGAAGGCCUUCGGGUUGUAAAGUUCUUUCGGUAGCGAAGGCAUUUAGUUUAAUUGUCUAGAUG
rnacentral:rRNA from 1 species